UACGUAGGGUGCAAGCGUUAAUUGGAAUUACUGGGCGUAAAGCGUGCGCAGGCGGUUUUGUAAGUCUGACGUGAAAUCCCCGGGCUCAACCUGGGAAUUGCGUUGGAGACUGCAAGGCUAGAAUCUGGCAGAGGGGGGUAGAAUUCCACGUGUAGCAGUGAAAUGCGUAGAGAUGUGGAGGAACACCGAUGGCGAAGGCAGCCCCCUGGGUCAAGAUUGACGCUCAUGCACGAAAGCGUGGGGAGCAAACAGG
rnacentral:rRNA from 1 species